rnacentral:misc_RNA from 1 species
GAAAGGAGGUGAAACCAGCACAAAUAGCAUUGCCUCGAUUUUUGCUUGGACUCGUGGACUUGCACAUAGGGCAAAGUUGGACAACAAUACUGCACUCUUGGAUUUCACCAAGAAACUAGAAGCAGCUUGCAUUGGUGCAGUGGAGAACGGGAAAAUGACAAAAGAUCUAGCACUUAUUAUCCACGGAUCCAAGGUCGCUAGACGUCAAUAUGUGAACACUGAAGAGUUCAUCGAUGCUGUGGCUGAUGAGCUGAAAGCUAGACUUCUAAAAGCAAAGAUAUAAGUGAUAGGUUUCCGCUUAGAGGAGAAUGACAUUUUGCCAGAACUUUGAGGAUCGAUUCAUAUAGACGAUCUGAACUUGUUUGGGAUUAAGUUGUCAGUUGUUGUAUUAUGGCUCUAGUGCAUCAUUAUUCACUAAUCCACACUUAACCCUGGAUUAGUGUGUGUUCUUGUUCCCCUCAUUGAUCCAUGUGGAAAAUAAACUUUGAAUUUUCAGAUGAUUUUUUAUGCAAAAUAAAAUUAGUGUAUAAUGUUUCAUAUUUGCCAAUUGUAUCUAGAAUGUCAUUCGUUAUUAGUAAACUGUCCUAAGUGGUUCCUAGGCAAGUUGAUUUAAGUUGUACCAAUAACAACGAU